CUGCUCCUCAAAGCUGGAAUCUUUCCCCACCUGCUCUUCACCAGUCCAAAUUCAGUUAUUUCCACUAAGGCCUUGCUCAGCUCGCCUCCCAGAAGCCUUCCACCCUGCGUGACCCAUUGAACCUUGUGGAAUUACAUCUGUUCUGACGUCUCUGCCGUGGAAAUAACUGAUGGUAUUGACUGACUGAAGCCAAUAACCGAAGUUCAGGUCUCUUUUGGCAACAAAGUGAUAUUAGGAAAGGCAAAGACUUGGGACACUGGAAUUCAUGUUGAAGAAAAAGCUAGAUGACCAGUGAGAUGGGACAUUCAAAGCCUCCAGCCAAGUUCCUCCUGGAACCUGUUCCUGGACUCCUCUCUCUGUUCUCUUCCCACUCAAAGUUUUGCCCAACAUCCCUCUUCUGUGCUGGGGGUGGGCAUGGGGGUGGAGGGGAGCCACUGGAGACCAGUUUGUACCCACAAGGGCACCAUCUUCCACAGCACUCACAAAUUUGGGAUUUUCAACAUUACAUAUU